rnacentral:rRNA from 1 species
AUUGAACGCUGGCGGCAUGCCUUACACAUGCAAGUCGAACGGCAGCAUGAUCUAGCUUGCUAGAUUGAUGGCGAGUGGCGCACGGGUGAGUAAUACAUCGGAACGUGCCCUGUAGUGGGGGAUAACUAGUCGAAAGAUUAGCUAAUACCGCAUACGACCUGAGGGUGAAAGUGGGGGACCGCAAGGCCUCAUGCUAUAGGAGCGGCCGAUGUCUGAUUAGCUAGUUGGUGAGGUAAAGGCUCACCAAGUCGACGAUCAGUAGCUGGUCUGAGAGGACGAUCAGCCACACUGGAACUGAGACACGGCCCAGACUCCUACGGGAGGCAGCAGUGGGGAAUUUUGGACAAUGGGCGAAAGCCUGAUCCAGCAAUGCCGCGUGUGUGAAGAAGGCCUUCGGGUUGUAAAGCACUUUUGUCCGGAAAGAAAUGGCUCUGGUUAAUACCUGGGGUCGAUGACGGUACCGGAAGAAUAAGGACCGGCUAACUACGUG